UUGCACAUAAUAAGGACGGUA
rnacentral:miRNA from 1 species